rnacentral:rRNA from 1 species
CGCCCGUCGCUCCUACCGAUUGGGUGUGCUGGUGAAGCGUUCGGAUUGGCUCCUGCCGACGGUUUCCGCCGACUGGAGCUGAGAAGUUCUCUAAACCCUCCCACCUAGAGGAAGGAGAAGUCGUAACAAGGUUUCC